rnacentral:rRNA from 1 species
GAUGAACGCUGGCGGCGUGCCUAAUACAUGCAAGUCGAGCGAACGGACGAGAAGCUUGCUUCUCUGAUGUUAGCGGCGGACGGGUGAGUAACACGUGGAUAACCUACCUAUAAGACUGGGAUAACUUCGGGAAACCGGAGCUAAUACCGGAUAAUAUUUUGAACCGCAUGGUUAAAAAGUGAAAGACGGUCUUGCUGUCACUUAUAGAUGGAUCCGCGCUGCAUUAGCUAGUUGGUAAGGUAACGGCUUACCAAGGCAACGAUGCAUAGCCGACCUGAGAGGGUGAUCGGCCACACUGGAACUGAGACACGGUCCAGACUCCUACGGGAGGCAGCAGUAGGGAAUCUUCCGCAAUGGGCGAAAGCCUGACGGAGCAACGCCGCGUGAGUGAUGAAGGUCUUCGGAUCGUAAAACUCUGUUAUUAGGGAGGAACAUAUGUGUAAGUAACUGUGCACAUCUUGACGGUACCUAAUCAGAAAGCCACGGCUAACUACGUG